AACGCUAGCUACAGGCUUAACACAUGCAAGUCGAGGGGCAGCAUGGUCUUAGCUUGCUAAGGCCGAUGGCGACCGGCGCACGGGUGAGUAACACGUAUCCAACCUGCCGUCUACUCUUGGACAGCCUUCUGAAAGGAAGAUUAAUACAAGAUGGCAUCAUGAGUCCGCAUGUUCACAUGAUUAAAGGUAUUCCGGUAGACGAUGGGGAUGCGUUCCAUUAGAUAGUAGGCGGGGUAACGGCCCACCUAGUCUUCGAUGGAUAGGGGUUCUGAGAGGAAGGUCCCCCACAUUGGAACUGAGACACGGUCCAAACUCCUACGGGAGGCAGCAGUGAGGAAUAUUGGUCAAUGGACGAGAGUCUGAACCAGCCAAGUAGCGUGAAGGAUGACUGCCCUAUGGGUUGUAAACUUCUUUUAUACGGGAAUAAAGUGAGGCACGUGUGCCUUUUUGUAUGUACCGUAUGAAUAAGGAUCGGCUAACUCCGUGCCAGCAGCCGCGGUAAUACGGAGGAUCCGAGCGUUAUCCGGAUUUAUUGGGUUUAAAGGGAGCGUAGGCGGACGCUUAAGUCAGUUGUGAAAGUUUGCGGCUCAACCGUAAAAUUGCAGUUGAUACUGGGUGUCUUGAGUACAGUAGAGGCAGGCGGAAUUCGUGGUGUAGCGGUGAAAUGCUUAGAUAUCACGAAGAACUCCGAUUG
rnacentral:rRNA from 1 species